UGGUCGGGUGACUUUCCUUGGGAAGAAAGUCGAGAAUUGGCCUUCCUUAUCGUCUCAACUUUCCCCGCCGCUGGGAUCCCGACAGUGUGUGUG
ncrna:unclassified sequences Rhodo-rpoB RNA